UCUUCUCGACAAUUCGCCAUAAGUGUGUUUUCCCAUGACAGACUGAAGACGCCAUCAUAUACUUAUAUGUGACAAUGCCAAAUUCAGUUCAGGUCAUGCACCAUAUAUAUAACGUAGCUUAUGAACCAAUUUAUUGGACAUGUUCACUAAGUAGACCUGGUAUUUUAGCGCACGGUUGUCAGUUGUCACCGACGACCUUAUGCGGCAGAUUAAUUGGCGUCCAGCUUCAGCUGUGUUUUGUAGUGAUCUAAUGGGUCCUUUGUGGUUUAGGACGAGUUUUGCAGCUUUCGUGUUGUGCAAACUGUUUUCUUAUUACGUAUUAUAAGUAGUAACGUUAUGCCGACAAACUUUUCACUACUUGAAGGACACAAGGACCUAACGUUUACUUGGUGUAUUUUAUUCGGAUUCACUAAGGUGCCAACCCGACUCACCAGGACACCAAUCCUAACAGAAGAUUCCCCAAGUAGCCGACCCGACUCACCACGUCACCAAUCCCCACAGAAGUUUAUAACAGGCAACAAGGCUAAGUGGGCCCAGUGACGCCGAUAUGAUGUCUGCGGAACAAGGCACGAAUCAACACAGUCGACCCCUUAUUCAAGCAUUCCGUGUGACCCAAGCUUCCAAAAUCAACAUGCCAACGAGACUCUAUAGCCUACAUACCUGCUGUAAAGUUUACACAAUCGCAAACCGGAGCAUGGCUCGUACUACUUUUUGGAAAGGUGUGGCUCUCUCCUAACACGAAUUCAAAAUUCUGUGGAGCCUAUCAGAUUGCAGCCAUCGAUGGGAUUAGGAGCUGGCGAGCUUGACCUCGAAUCAAGAGUAGACAGUUUAUGACAGGCAACAAGGCUAAGUGGGCCCAGUGACGCCGAUAUGAUGUCUGCGGAACAAGGCACGAAUCAACACAGUCGACCCCUUAUUCAAGCAUUCCGUGUGACCCAAGUAUUGACCCUUGUUUAAACGUUAACGCGUCUGUCGCACGUAAUGCCUCUUCUUUGAUUGAUCGUCUUAGUAGUGAUGAUAGAUGUGCUAUUUUUUGUAAAUUACUUCAGACUUUCAUCUUAACCCCAUAGCUCAGCUCGCUCCAACUGAAUUGUUAUCAGCGGACUAAGCACGGAAAAGAUAGCCAUGACUUGUUCCUAACUUGUGAAAUGAAUUGUUUGUGCACCUCCCAGAUGUAUGUGAUAUAUCACAUUGUCUCAGUGAAAACGUCACGCGGCUGACCUUAGGUCACAGCUGGGCUGGAUAAUUGGCGCCUCGCUCCAGGCGUCCCUACAAGAGAUCUGUUGUUUACAACAGAUGUGGAAGGUCCUUUGUUAUCAUGGUGAAGAACCAAUUCCAUCCCAUAUUAGUACAUGUGGAUAUGCUACAAUACAGAGUCCUGUGCAGUUAUCUAGAGCUCUUUGAUUGGAUAACAUUUCAAGUUACAAACACGAUCAUUACAGCCAGAGAAAACUCGAUGUUUGGAUUUAUAAGACUCUCAGUUGGUGUUACGAGAUGUUUUGGCAUAGGUCAUCAUGUACACAACCCUGGUUAGAAGUAUAGCUGCCUAGUCUUAAAGAAUGUAUACAGCGUACGGCAUUUAAGUAGUAUAUAUUUAUUUAAUGCUGUUUCUGAAUUUUUUAGAUGUAAAUUCACUUUGACUACUUGCGUUAUAUUACCACCUAUUGUCUGUAGACUUAUGUUCUACUCUUAGUCUAAGAAAAAUUCAUAUGACUCAGACAUUUCACAAUAUUUUUCUUUUCUUUCGAGAGGUACAAACAAGUUUUAAGUCUGACGUGAUAACACAUAUAAAGACUCAUUUACAUUUGGCACAAAAUAGCUUUCAACCUGACAGCCGCAGUGUCUCUUAACACAUGGUCUCUUUUCAACGACAGUUUUUAAAAUACCUACAUAACAAAUUUGGACUGCUCUCUGAUACAGACGUUCAAUGUACCUGGCGACGAUCUGUUCAUGUUCCACAUAUUGCCACAAGGUCGAACAAGUCAAGCCCUAAUUUCAUUUUGUUAUAUUUCUUUGAAUUUAUAUAAUUUGUAUUGUGAACUAAUGUAUAUUUUACUCCUAGCUGUUACUAUAAGUACCAUUAUAUCCCUAGUUAUUUACUUGUGCAUUUUGUUUAUAACGAGGAAGGACACACAGAGGUUAGCAAUCAUCUAUUUUGUCUCUUCUUUCAUUGUGAUGUUGAUCGUAAAUUUCAAGAAACAAAUAAACAAAUACUUUUA